UACGUAGGGUGCGAGCGUUGUUCGGAUUCAUUGGGCGUAAAGGGUGUGUAGGUGGCGCGCUAAGUCGGGUGUGAAAUUUCGGAGCUUAACUCCGAAACUGCAUUCGAUACUGGCGUGCUUGAGGACUGGAGAGGAGACUGGAAUUUACGGUGUAGCGGUGAAAUGCGUAGAGUAUCGUAAGGAAGACCAGUGGCGAAGGCGGGUCUCUGGACAGUUCC
rnacentral:rRNA from 1 species